UCGAGAAUAUUUGUCAAUGCGCGAAAGCGUGAACAAGCAAUGCCGCGUGUAGGAUGAAGGCCCUCGGGUCGUAAACUACUUUUAUUAGGGAAAAAUUUCGAUGAUGGUACCUAAUGAAUAAGAGGUUACUAACUCUGUGCCAGCAGUAGCGGUAAUACAGAGACCUCAAGCGUUAUCCGGAUUUAUUGGGCGUAAAGGGUGCGUAGGCGGAUAUAUUAGUCAGAUGUCAAAUCCUUCGGCUCAACCGAAGAACCGCAUUUGAAACGGUAUAUCUUGAGAAUGUGAGAGAUCAGUGGAAUUUAUGGUGUAGUAGUGAAAUGCGUUGAUAUCAUAAAGAACAUCCAAGGCGAAGGCAGCUGAUUGGCACAUUUCUGACGCUGAGGCACGAAAGCGUGGGGAGCGAAUAGG
rnacentral:rRNA from 1 species